CCGACAAUAAACAUGUUUACCUUUUGUUGUUCGCCAUUAUUUUUUUUUAUUGCGCAAGUGCAUGUUAAUUGGUGAUUUGAUUAGGGUUUUAAUAUUGGAGCUGUGCUCAAUGAAGGCAGGCAGGCUCAGGCUGGCCACUACAGAGAGGAGAGUGUACAUCCGAGUGGGCAGCUAUAGGAGAAACUAUCAGCAAAACCACAUCAAGGACAGGAAACAGUCUGCAUUCAAGGGAGGAAAAUACUGUAUGCAAAUGAAAAGUCAAGUGCAAAAAAAAUGUCAGACUCUUUAGAUUAUGUUGUGUUGUUGUUCUGUUUUUUUUUUCCAAUUCUGUUCUUAUCUAUAUUCUAUUCUUCUUUCCAUCCAGUUUGUGACUUAUGCAGGCAAGCUACUGUAGAGCCAGGUGGCUGAGGUCUCGGCAGGGAGUCAGUGCAAGCUGAGAGGGGUAGUAACAUCACCGUCAACAUCACUAGGUCCUGCUGAAGAGAGAUUGAAAAUAACAUCAGGUACAGGACCAGGGGGGAGAACAGCGGGGGAGACAAGUGUUUCCUUGUGCUGUUAGUUGUAUUAGUAUUUGCUAUCAAGCACACAGUCCACAAUUAAAAUAGCAUUAAGCCCAACUUAGUUGGUGUGUCUGCCAAUUGUCCCCUCACCGUGCCUGGCCACAGAGAGGGUCCCGAGGCCCCUGACUGGCUGGACUGUGACAGGAACAUAGACACCGCCUGAAUAAUGAACCAUUCAGAACCUCUCUCUCUCCACCCGCCACUCCUCCAUCCAGCCCUGCCUCAUCCCCAGACGCCUGCCUGCCUCCAGCCCCUAGCAGCUCCAGGCUCCCGGCCCCCAUGGAGCUUGGCACUGAUGCCCAGCGCAAAAACAGAUGGUGCCAAUCCUGACCCCUCUCGUCACCGAUGGACAGGAACAGGAAGAGGAGGAGGCACUGUUGCCACGGCAACUCCUGGCCACACAUCCUCUCCAAGGGCCUCAGGUAUCCAUCAGGCUGCAUUUGGUCCCUGAGCUCUGAGGGUUCAGUGACAGGACAUCCUCUCAGAGUGCAGUGGACUACCUGAUGGACCCUGUGAUCUACCAAGAGGACCUGUAAUCAAGUGAGAAGGAACUGUGAUCCGGUGAGGUGUCCAGUGAUCCAUCUACUGAGAUCCACUCAAGAUUUCCAGAGCGAAAGAACGGUGUUCCACUGAGAGUUCCAGUGAUCCAGCUUGUGUCCUGGUAGAGUUCUCUGGUGAGCGUGUCU
rnacentral:lncRNA from 1 species